rnacentral:lncRNA from 1 species
UCUGAGUUGUUUUCUUUUUUUUUUUUUUUUUUCAGGUAAUUGUCAAAGUGGAAAAAAUAAAAAAUGCUGGCUGACACAACCUUCAUCACAGGCCUUGCUCCACCUCAAAAUAACUUCACGCAUGAUGCUUUCAGGGAUUUAUAACUCACCCCUACUUUGCUCCAGAUACCCCCUCAAAAGGGUGUGAGAAUCGUUCAUUCUUUUCUAUUCCCGACGAAAUGGUACCUUGGUGGUGGCAUGACUUCUUCGGGAAGGCAAGUGGGACUGUUAAGAGCCAUGAAAAACAUAGGUGCAUGGGAAAGACAGAAAUCAUGCUUCUAAUAUGACAAUGUGGGUUGUGUGGAAUAGACGGAAAGUCCCUGUUCUGCCAUCCCCAGCUCUCUUCCCUUCUUUCAAAGGAGAACUAUGGGGUUGGAAAAGAGGCAUUUUGGCAUGGUGACAACUUUUCUGGAGGAGUUGAUCAAGAUCAUUCUUAGUCAAUAUGGAGGAGGGCUUUACAAAGAGCACCAGUCUAGGGCAAGGAGAGUGAGCAGCUGACAUGGUCGUGACAACAGCCCUGAUUCUCACUGACCUGAGGGUUCUCCUGGGUCACAGACUUCCAGGUAAAACCAGAAAAUUACUGCACAAACCAAGAUAAAUUGGCCACCCAACACUAAGACCAAGGAGACAUUUCUUAAAAAGAAUACAGGACAUAUCAUGUGAAUAGAAAAAUUCUUUUUAUCAUUGGCAACAAGGCUGUUUUCUCCAGGAAAAACUAAUUGCUAUGACAACAUAUGUUUGCUCUUAAUUACCUUGCCACAGCCAAAGCUGAUUGGGAGACUAGCCUAGAUUUGGAGUUCUCCAACUUAUGAGAACACCUUCUGGGGUUUUCUACUCUAAAGCUAGUAGAAAUCCAGACAAAGAAAAUCUCCAGAAACACUUGUGAAAGACUUAUAAUUUCAAAAUAGCAAUGUAAAAUUAAUAGAAACAGUAUAAUUAUCAAAAGAGUUUGCAAUUCCUUUUCAGUUGUCAUUUUUGUCUUUGGGAAGAUAUUGAACAUUCGUUCUAAAAGUCAGUGGAAUAAUUCUUUUCUCUGAAUGGGUUGCCAUUAAUUUCAAACACAAUUUCACUUUCUUCAUUUUUUUUUUGGUUAUGAAAUAAAGUUUGUUGCUCACACAG